UUUUACGUCGUUUGAACAAAGAGUUGUUCCUGGCCAAAUAUGCCACCUUGAAUUUGUGGUGCUAAGCUGCCAGUCCAGAAGAGUCUGAAGGCUGUUGAAUUGGCUCUCUAUAGGCACAGAAUCCUAACAGCUGUGUGAUAGUCAUCCUACAACAACAGGAGACUCUUGCUGAAUCCUUUUUUUUUUGCCGUUGGAGGGCUUCUGUAUUUCACCUUCCUCUCUUUCCCAUCUAUUUCUGUAGGUUUCUAUUGCCUGGAGGGCUCUGAGGUGCCCACACCAUGUCCUUCCAAUACUAUCAGAGAUGUUCCAGGGGCUGGGCGGAAAGAAGACUGCCUGCCCUGUCCACCCGGCCGCUGGUGCAAAGCAGGGGACUCAGAGGCUUAUCCAUGUCCCUCAGGACACUAUUGCCUUGGAGGUAACGUCAGUGACCAAAGCAGUCUCCUGGCACCUCAGAAAUGCCCUCCACACACUUACCGCAAACACCCUGGAGCUCAGAGUGUGGCAGAUUGCCAGCCGUGUCCUCCGGGCUAUCACUGCCCUUUAUCAGGUCUGACCAGGUUUGAGGAUUAUCCAUGCCCCCUGGGAUACUGGUGCCCUGGUAAAGGGGACGCUUUCCUUUGUCCACCUGGUACUUCCAGGAGCCAGCCUGGUGCAAAAUCACUGGAAGAGUGCGAUCCCUGCUCACCUGGAUACUAUUGCCCAGACCCAGCACACACAGGGCUACCUAACAGCCAAGGAGUACCUUGUAAACCUGGCUUUGAAUGCCCAGCAGGUUCAGUGAAUCCAAAGCCUUGCAGGCCUGGCUCAUACUGUGGUGCUCACACAGCCGUGCCUUCCAUGUGCCCUGCUGGAUAUUUCUGUCCUGAAGGCUCAUCAACCUACAAUAGCCCUGAGCAGCUGUAAGUACUUCAUGUGUUUGGUGGAGCCAGCUUUAAGGUUUUUUUUUUUGAGUCCAGAAAUCAGAACAUUUUCAGAGAAUUUUCUCCUCUCUUCCUGCCUUGUUUUGCUUUCCAGGUGUGUGUUUCCCUACUACUGCCCCCCAGGCAGUGCCCAUCCACUGCCUUGUGAAGGAGGAUUCAUGGCCCUCAGCUUGCCUGGUCCAAGGGAUUCAUUUGAGAAAUUCUGCAGAAUCUGUGACGCAGGCAGCUAUCGGAACGUCUCUGCCAGCGCUGCCCCCUGUCAGCCCUGCCCAGCAGGCUUCAUCUGCCCACAAGGUAAAUGGGGCUGCUAAGAAGUAGUACAAGUAGUUUGAAUUGUAAGUAGAAAGCUCUAAGUUUUGAUGGGCAAAGCUCUUGAUCCUCUACAGUUUUACAUCCCUGGUGUGGGUGAAGGGGAUGAUCUUUUUCCUCCAAUUCUGUGACUCAGCUGCGAGACCAGGAAUUAAGAUAUUAUCAGAAGUGUGAACCUAGGUGUUCAAGCCUUGCGGUGUGACA
rnacentral:lncRNA from 1 species